GACGAACGCUGGCGGCGUGCUUAACACAUGCAAGUCGAACGGUAAGGCCCUUUCGGGGGUACACGAGUGGCGCACGGGUGCGUAACACGUGGGUGAUCUGCCCUGCACUUUGGGAUAAGCCUGGGAAACUGGGUCUAAUACCGGAUAGGACUACGCGAUGCAUGUCGUGUGGUGGAAAGCUUUUGCGGUGUGGGAUGGGCCCGCGGCCUAUCAGCUUGUUGGUGGGGUGAUGGCCUACCAAGGCGACGACGGGUAGCCGGCCUGAGAGGGUGUCCGGCCACACUGGGACUGAGAUACGGCCCAGACUCCUACGGGAGGCAGCAGUGGGGAAUAUUGCACAAUGGGCGCAAGCCUGAUGCAGCGACGCCGCGUGGGGGAUGACGGCCUUCGGGUUGUAAACCCCUUUCAGCACAGACGAAGCGUAAGUGACGGUAUGUGCAGAAGAAGCGCCGGCCAACUACGUG
rnacentral:rRNA from 1 species